rnacentral:tRNA from 1 species
GGCGGUAUGGUGGAAUGGCAGACACGUUCGACUCAAACUCGAAUGCCGUAAGGCUUGGGGGUUCAAGUCCCUCUACCGCUA